rnacentral:lncRNA from 1 species
CUUCUAGCCUAUUGAAUGAGAGGUUCAAGGUAGUCAAGUAGGUAAAGUUGGCAAGGAAAAUGGGAAUAGUACCAGAGAGAUUGUUAAAUGAGAGGUCUAAUGUAUCUAAGCCUUUUAGUUUUUUGAGGUUGCCUAGAAUUGAUCCUUCGAAGGAGUUACACGAUAGGUUUAGGUAGGUUAGCAUAUUAAGUUGUCCAAAUGAUUCUGGAAUUUUUCCUAUCAAGAAGUUGGAAGAAAGGUCCAUUUGACAUGUUUGACUUAGACCAGAAACAUCGAUCGGUAGUGGACCAGAAAAGGAAUUGUGUGAAAUAUCCAGUUGAAUAAGUUUAUUUAGGUGGAAAAUGCUCGCUGGUAUCUUUGAACUUAGCUGGUUAUUGGACAAGUAGAACUCUUCUAACCGACUAAGGUUACCAAAGCUGCUAGGUAUCGAUCACACGAAUUUGUUUGCUUGGAGAAACAAUCGUCGUAGAUUCCCCAGCAUUCCUAUUUGUGUUGGAAUAGGGCCUAACAUGUCAUUGUGGGAAAGAUCAAGGUAUUUAAGAUUUUGCAACAUAAUGAUGGAUUCUGGUAUUGGCUCGGUGAAUAAGUUGUUAGCAAGAUCAAUCACCUCAAGUUUGGUGUUGUUUGAAAAUGCGACCGGAACUCCACCUAUUAACUUGUUGUUACUGGCAACGAAUAUGAGUAAUUGUGAAGUGAGAUUUCCCACAUGGCGAGGGAGGACACCCGUGAAAGAAUUAUUUUCUAUUAUAACGACUUGGAGUUGUCUGCACUUGGAAAGAUUUGAGAAGAAGUCUAGAUUCCCCUCUAAAUUAUUAGAUUGCAAUAAAAGCCUGUUCAAAGCUACAUUUUUACCAAGUGUUGUUGGUACUUGACCGGACAAUUGAUUGUUUUCCAACUGUAGGGAAGACAAUUUGGAUAAGUUGCCAAGGGAGGCUGGAAUUAGACCUGUCAAUUGGUUAACACUAAGUUGCAGAUAAGAGAGUUCCUGCAUAAGACCUAUUUCUGGUGGAAUCUUCCCUUUCAGGUUGCCACCAGAGAGGUUUAGAUCAGUAAGACUGGUGAGAUGGCUAAGAGCAGCUGGGAUGGAACCAAUAAGAUUAUUAAGUCCCAAAUAAAGCCUUCUAAGAUGUGGCAAUUUGGCUAACCAUGUUGGAACAACAUCCAAAAAAGAAUUUCCACCCAAAGCAAUUUCUUGUAGGUAUUGGCAUGACGAAAGCCCCGAUGGAAACCGGCCAGUAAAUUUGUUACCAAAUAGCCUGAUAUAUUGCAACAUUGGGAGGUUGAAACUUAGAUUGGUUGGAAUGGCUCCAGUUAGGUUACCAUUGCCAGCGAGUGCCAUGACUUGCAGCUUAGACAUGUUGAACAUGGCUUGUGGCACUAGGCCAGAGAGUUGAUUAACCUCUAGGCUCAAGACCACAAGCACGGAUAGCGAUGCAAUACCUUGCGGUAUAGGACCUGACAGGCUGUUAUUUCCAAAAUCGAUGAACGUCAACGAAGGCGUGUUGUUGAACAAAUAUGACGGAAUUUGGCCACUCAAUUCAUUUCCGACCAGAAAAAUUCUCCUAAGGUCUUGCAUACGCGUCAGCAUUUCAGGGGGGAUCUGGCCGGAGAGUUGGUUCAAAGCUAGACUAAGUAUCUUGAGCCUUGUGAGGUUCCCUAUAGCAGUAGGGAUGGUAUCUGAGAGGCUAUUUCCUCCAAGACUGAGAUACUUAAGACGAUGUAGCCUACCAAGUUCGGCUGGAAUGGAGCCUGUGAGAUUGGUGUAGGUAAGAUUGAGGAAGGAAAGGAAAGAGAGAUUACCAAUGUGAGGUGCCAAAGAUCCGACGAGAGACACCUACCCAAUGACAGAAAGACGUGCCGGUGGUCCAGUUACCGGCGAGGACGCCGAGAGGAUCGGCGAGCUGGGCUUUGAAAGCCAGCAGCGCGGCGAGGUCGGUGUCGCUGCCGUUAACGUUGCCGUCCGUCGGCCUGGGAGACACGGCUAACACAAGUGCUAGUGUGAAGAAGAAGAUGGUGAGAACAGGGGCCAUUGAGAUGUGCGAGGCUGGGUGUGCUAUGCCUGUGUGUGCUUGCAGGAGUGAACAGCUAGCGUGUAAUUUUGUAGGAGCCGGCUCUAUCUGCAGAAGCUCAUCCUUUUGUGUGCUACAAGUGCAUCAAUCGAUCAUGCCUUGGCUGUUUGCUUGGAAUAAAUUUUCCUUGUUACUACCUUCAUCCGAUCGCAGCCAUCACCUUGCCGGCGGCAGCACGGCGCAGAGCUAUCGAGCCUUGGCCCGGACGAGACUGUGUUCCAGUCUCUAGAGGACAGUGAAACAUGCACCCCACUCCAGCAAAAUACUGGAGUACCCCGUAGUAGCGGACAAAGACCCAGUGUGGUCGUUUGGCUCUAUAUAUAUAUAUGCUGAAUGAGUACUGCUUGGUCAAAUGAUGAUCAGUGACUUCGGUCAAAAAACAAAAAUGAUAUCAGUGCACAGUCUUUGAUCAAGGGCCCAUGGACAUGCCACACGGUCAUCGUACGCCUCCAUCUUUUUUUUUCCCGGAAUUGAAAGACGGGAACUUUGUUGCUCGGGGACAAAAUUACAAGCUGCAGCUAGAAAGUCUGUUAUGUGUCUGAAUUUACAAAACUUAGCUAGCUCUGUUUUGGUUACGAUCGACUCUCAUAAACAACGGUUCCCUGAGUCCAGAAAGGAGUACCUUGGCAUCCUAAAUGAUAUAUAAGCAGCCAAGGGAGAUUGAUCACUGUGCUGCUCUACGAGUUGCCGUUGCCGUCCGUUUGGUGUACUCGGCUUUGAUCUUCUUCAACACCACGCCACAUCGUGCAUCGUCAUCCUCUGGUCAGGAGAGUCGCUGGAACAAAGCAAACCCAGCUCGAAUACGGGCGCAAGAAAGUCGUUGUCCAAGCUGUGGCUAGAAAGAGAAGGACCUUGCAGUAGCUGGUCAUCCAUGACUUGGACAAGCUCUGCAGGGAAUGCCUGAUGAACCCACUGCCUAAGGGUUAGUUGUGCGCCGAACAUUGCGUCGGUGGGUCUUCUUCCUGUGAAGACUUCAAGGAGCAUGAUCCCGUAGCUGAACACGUCGCUCUUGCGUGAUGCCUUUCCAAGAGACCCGUGCUCUGCUCAAGAAAAACAUAAACAGAUUAAAGCGUAAUUGCUUAGCCAUGUUGUUUUGAGUGGAGCCAUAAUUUAUCAAUGGCUUAACAAGUACUAGGAUGAGAGAAAGAUAACAUGAUCUAGCUAGUUAAGUACCUGGUGCCAUGUACCCAACUGUUCCAAGCAUGCUCGCACUUAUCAUGGAGUUGUCAUCUAGAAGCAACCUUGCAAUGCCGAAAUCCGCCACAUGCGCCGUCAUCUCCUCAUCAAACAACACGUUGCUAGGCUUCAAGUCACAGUGCAAGAUGAGCUCGUAGUGUUCAUGGUGCAGAUAAUCCAUUGCCAUCGAGACAUCAAGCAUGAUUCCCAGCCUCUCAGGGAAUCCCAAGUGCAUUGUACUCUCGGCUCUGUGAAGGAGCAUCUCUAAGCUGCCAUUUGGCAUGUAUGGUAGCACUAGUGCUCUAAAGUCGAGGUUGGAACAAGUAUUGAGUAUCCUUAUCAGGUUGCGAUGUCGCGCCAUCCGAAGCACUCGACACUCGGAAUCGAAACUCCGAACGGCCUGCUCCAGUUGCAUGUCAAGAACUUUUAUCGCAACAGGCAAGCCAUUGCUUAGUUGGCCCUUGAAGACUUUUCCAAAGCUUCCGGAUCUCAAUAUGUUAUCUUCACUGAAAUUAUUGGUGGCACGCACAAGGUCAUGAUAGGAGACUAUCUGAUGGCCUAUGGCAUCGGUUGGAUCAAGAGAAGCUUCGUCCUCACCCUUCUUAUGUUUUUUCCCAAACCAUAGGUAUACGCAAAUGGCAAUGGCGACAAACGCUAAUAUGAUUGUUGGGAGUACAAACUGUAGCAAGUGUCUAUUAGUUGAGUCAGGUCUUUCAAGGCAUGAUGAAAAUCGUAGCCGUGGAGCGCCACAUAGUCUAGCAUUCCCAAUCAAACACUGCAACGUGAGGUUUGAGAAAACACCUCCCUCAGGUAUUUGGCCUUCUAGCCUAUUGAAUGAGAGGUUCAAGGUAGUCAAGUAGGUAAAGUUAGCAAGGAAAAUGGGCAUAGUACCAGAGAGAUUGUUAAACGAGAGGUCUAAUGUAUCUAAGCCUUUUAGUUUUUCGAGGUUCCCUGGAAUUGAGCCUUCGAAGGAGUUACAGGAUAGAUUUAGGUAGGUUAGCAUAUUAAGUUGUCCAAAUGAUUC